AGAAGCUAGGCUGGUCCCCUAGCUCUUCUCUCAAGUCCAGCUCCCCGAUGGUCCUCUAACCAUGUCCAAUCCAAGCCAGGAAAUCUCUCUACUCCCUAAAAUGGAAGGCUCAAAAACGUCUUCUUAACCGUUUUCCUCCAGGGAUUCUCUAAGCCCUGGGGUUCUAUUUCUAAAAUUAAUUCUUUCAGUAAGCACUUACCGUGACAGACCUCAUGCUUGGCACAGCGGAUAGAAAGAUUAAUACGACACAGACUGCAGAAGACAGACAAGGAAACAGAAAUCACAGCACGGUGUUUGUGUAAUACGGACAGAGACAGGGAACACGGAUAAGGGGGCCUAAAUCAGAAGGGGUCUGUCUGACCCAACUUCCAGUUGACAGAAAAUGUGAAGAGACAAAGUAAGAAGUUAAACACCACAAUAUGACAAAAGUCAAAAUGUGGGACGGGACCCUCUAAAAAAUACCUGGCCUGAACUCUUCAAAAAGCUUCAAGCAAAACUAUAGAUGUUGAUGUGGAUCCCAGGAGAGUGUUUUCAAGCAAUCUAGGGACAGUGAAAAGAUACUGAGGUCACAGUGGAAGAAGGUGAAGCAAUUCUGCAAAAAUAUUUGCUUUUGUAAGAGCUGUCAGUGGUUAGUGUUAACUACUGAAUGCAGUGACACCUAUCAUUUUUCUUCUGCAAGAAGCACUGUGAAUCAUUUUAUGUUUUGUGUUAUAUAUAGAUAUUACCCUCCUUCCCCCCUUUUUUUAGUAUCUGUUUAACAAUUGGAAAAUGUUUUCUCCUAGUGUGUUUCUUUACUUUCUUCCUUGGUCCGUCUGUUUGGCAGUAUUAAAUUUAUUAAACAAGGAGACCAUUAGACUGACAUGGUUCUAAUACCUUAUCAGCCCACAAAGUAAUCCAAAACCUAAGCCUAUAAAUGCCUCAAGGUCAAGAAAGCAAAACCUAAGGACAACCAGUCACAAACAGCCAACUAGACUUUUCCAAAUAAAGUAAAUGUUUAGGCUACAGCCAAUCAAAUAAUUGCCUUGCUUUGCUUCUGCCUUUUCUCUAUAAAAAUCUUUCUCCUAACUCAGAUUUCUAACCACUUCUUGUUUGGCACUGCCUGAUUCCA